rnacentral:rRNA from 1 species
UACGUAGGGGGCUAGCGUUGUCCGGAAUCAUUGGGCGUAAAGCGCGUGUAGGCGGCCCGGUAAGUCCGCUGUGAAAGUCGGGGGCUCAACCCUCGGAUGCCGGUGGAUACUGUCGGGCUCGAGUACGGAAGAGGCGAGUGGAAUUCCUGGUGUAGCAGUGAAAUGCGUAGAUAUCAGGAGGAACACCGAUGGCGAAGGCAGGUCUCUGGGCUGACACUGACGCUCAUGCACGAAAGCGUGGGGAGCAAACAGG